CCUUGUGUUAGUGGUGUAGUCACAUGACAGGGUUUGUUUACAACCUAAUGUUAUUGGUGUAGUCACAUGACAGGGUUUGUUUACAACCUUGUGUUAGUGGUGUAGUCACAUGACAGGGUUUGUUUACAACCUUGUGUGAGUGGUGUAGUCACAUGACAGGGUUUGUUUACAACCUUGUGUUAGUGGUGUAGUCACAUGACAGGGUUUGUUUACAACCUUGUGUUAGUGGUGUCGUCACAUGACAGGGUUUGUUUACAACCUUGUGUUAGUGGUGUAGUCACAUGACAGGGUUUGUUUACAACCUUUUGUUAGUGGUGUCGUCACAUACAGGUGACAGGGUUGGUGUAGUCACAUACAGGUGAUAGGGUUUGUUUACAACCUUGUGUGAGUGGUGUCGUCACAUACAGGUGACAGGGCUGGUGUAGUCACAGACAGGUGACAGGGCUGGUGUAGUCACAUACAGGUGAUAGGGUUUGUUUACAACCUUGUGGGAGUGGUGUAGUCACAUACAGGUGACCAAUUGUAUUUAAUUUAUUGAAACUUAUGUUUUAAACAUUUAUUCUUGCUUUCAGUAUUAUCUGUCGAUGUAAAUGUGCUACGUGUAUGUAGCUUAUAGAUUGUUUGGAGCCAUACAGAUAUACUGUAAUGUUCAGUGCUAAUUAUAAUUAGCGAAAUAUAAACAUUUAUUUAUCUCAUGAAAUCAAUCUUCUAAAAGCUCUUUAAAUGUGACUGUUAAAUGUGAAGUGAGUAAUGUUAAGAACAUACCUCUCCCUUAACACAAUGUACUUCCCAUUAUUCUAUCGUCAAUAACAACCCAUCCAUCCUAGAGAAGGUGUCUUUGACAUUGUCCUUGCCCAUGUAUGUGACCUUGACCUUGUCUGUACUGUUAAGUAUUUGUGUCAGUAAGUGUGAGAGAGGAGAGACUUUAAAAAAGAUGUGAAAUUAUUUAUUUUUCAUAUUGGUUACAUGAUAACAUUGUUUCUGCGUCAGAUGUUAUUGUCAUUACAUGAUAACAUUGUUUCUGCGUUAAAUGUUAUUGUCAUUUGACUUGAUUAAAUCGCCAGCUGAUAAAACAGA